rnacentral:rRNA from 1 species
GGCCGCGGGAAUUCGAUUCAGGCCUAACACAUGCAAGUCGAGCGGUAGAGGGAAGCUUGCUUCUCUUGAGAGCGGCGGACGGGUGAGUAAAGCCUAGGAAUCUGCCUGGUAGUGGGGGAUAACGUUCGGAAACGGACGCUAAUACCGCAUACGUCCUACGGGAGAAAGCAGGGGACCUUCGGGCCUUGCGCUAUCAGAUGAGCCUAGGUCGGAUUAGCUAGUUGGUGAGGUAAUGGCUCACCAAGGCGACGAUCCGUAACUGGUCUGAGAGGAUGAUCAGUCACACUGGAACUGAGACACGGUCCAGACUCCUACGGGAGGCAGCAGUGGGGAAUAUUGGACAAUGGGCGAAAGCCUGAUCCAGCCAGGCCGCGUGUGUGAAGAAGGUCUUCGGA